UAAAGGGAAGCCGGGUUUUCUCGUUGGAUUAUUUCCUCCCGAGCUUCUGGUACGCUAUAGCGGUAGACGCUGGCUGUUGGUUAAAUUACUGAGGCGAUCAGGUCGUGCGAUUGCUACAGCCGUGGUGAGGAGACGCGUGAGUGCAUCCGCCGUGCAGUACAGCGCCUCCAAGUUCUGGGCGAACUGAGGAUCUACCAGCGGCCGUGGGACCUUAGGUGGCGGGUCGUUUUCCACACUUCUUUUGUUGUACAGCACCAGGUGAAUAGACUAUAGUAGGUUUUUUUUGUGUGGUUUUCUUUUGGUCCACCGCUGCUGGUAAGUCCCAGUUGUAUUUAUUUUUAUUGUAAUUUGGGACACCGUUUUAGAUAUUCAGUGCGCUGUUGUUUUGUUUUUCAUUUUACAUUAAUAAAUAAAAUUGUGUUCAUAUUUGA